rnacentral:rRNA from 2 species
UGCCUAUACAUGCAGUCGAACGAACUCUGGUAUUGAUUGGUGCUUGCAUCAUGAUUUACAUUUGAGUGAGUGGCGAACUGGUGAGUAACACGUGGGAAACCUGCCCAGAAGCGGGGGAUAACACCUGGAAACAGAUGCUAAUACCGCAUAACAACUUGGACCGCAUGGUCCGAGUUUGAAAGAUGGCUUCGGCUAUCACUUUUGGAUGGUCCCGCGGCGUAUUAGCUAGAUGGUGGGGUAACGGCUCACCAUGGCAAUGAUACGUAGCCGACCUGAGAGGGUAAUCGGCCACAUUGGGACUGAGACACGGCCCAAACUCCUACGGGAGGCAGCAGUAGGGAAUCUUCCACAAUGGACGAAAGUCUGAUGGAGCAACGCCGCGUGAGUGAAGAAGGGUUUCGGCUCGUAAAACUCUGUUGUUAAAGAAGAACAUAUCUGAGAGUAACUGUUCAGGUAUUGACGGUAUUUAACCAGAAAGCCACGGCUAACUACGUGCCAGCAGCCGCGGUAAUACGUAGGUGGCAAGCGUUGUCCGGAUUUAUUGGGCGUAAAGCGAGCGCAGGCGGUUUUUUAAGUCUGAUGUGAAAGCCUUCGGCUCAACCGAAGAAGUGCAUCGGAAACUGGGAAACUUGAGUGCAGAAGAGGACAGUGGAACUCCAUGUGUAGCGGUGAAAUGCGUAGAUAUAUGGAAGAACACCAGUGGCGAAGGCGGCUGUCUGGUCUGUAACUGACGCUGAGGCUCGAAAGUAUGGGUAGCAAACAGGAUUAGAUACCCUGGUAGUCCAUACCGUAAACGAUGAAUGCUAAGUGUUGGAGGGUUUCCGCCCUUCAGUGCUGCAGCUAACGCAUUAAGCAUUCCGCCUGGGGAGUACGGCCGCAAGGCUGAAACUCAAAGGAAUUGACGGGGGCCCGCACAAGCGGUGGAGCAUGUGGUUUAAUUCGAAGCUACGCGAAGAACCUUACCAGGUCUUGACAUACUAUGCAAAUCUAAGAGAUUAGACGUUCCCUUCGGGGACAUGGAUACAGGUGGGUGCAUGGUUGUCGUCAGCUCGUGUCGUGAGAUGUUUGGGUUAAGUCCCGCAACGAGCGCAACCCUUAUUAUCAGUUGCCAGCAUUAAGUUGGGCACUCUGGGGGAGACUGCCGGUGACAAACCGGAGGAAAGGGGGGGGGAUGAAAGUCAAAAUCAUCAUGGCCCCCUAUAAACCUGGGGGUACAAACCGGGUUCCAAAGGGAGG